rnacentral:rRNA from 1 species
CGAUACGGGACUCAUCCGAGGCCCCGUAAUCGGAAUGAGAACACUCUAAAUCCUUUAACGAUGAUCUAUUGGAGGGCAAGCCUGGUGCCAGCAGCCGCGGUAAUUCCAGCUCCAAUAGCGUAUAUUAAAGUUGUUGCGGUUAAAAAGCUCGUAGUUGGUUCUGCGUGCCACGCUGUCGGUUCACCGCCUGCCGGUGCAACUGGCAUGCCGUGGCAUGUCCUGUCGGUGGCGGAUAGGCCUCCCGGCGUGCCCUACGCGGUAUACCAGCGUGUAGGCUGCUGCGCCGGGGGUGUCCUUGUACGCCGACUCAAUCCUACCGCGGUGCUCUUUACCGAGUGUCGAGGUAGGCCGACACUGUUUACUUUGAACAAAUUAGAGUGCUUCAAGCAGGCUCUUAAAUCAGCCUGAAUAGUGGUGCAUGGAAUAAUGGAACAGGACCUUGGUUCUAUUUUGUUGGUUUCCGGAAUCCAAGGUAAUGAUCAAUAAGGACAGGCGGGGGCAUUCGUAUUGCGACGUUAGAGGUGAAAUUCUUGGAUCGUCGCAAGACGCACUA